rnacentral:lncRNA from 1 species
CUGCUGUCCAAAUACAAAACCCACCACUUCCCAAAUGCUACAUACUGCCUUCCCCUGCAGUUAUGUAAGAGAGCAGUGACCUUUCACGAGAAGAGCUUGGCAUUUACAAGACCCAGGUGCCAAGCUCAGGGGUUUCUUCCCUCAUUAAGGGCAACUGUGUCUGCUUGUCUGGCUCUAUGGCAUACAGCUGUGCUGUCUGACCACAGGGACCUGGCCUUGCUGCUGAGCAGACAUCUUUUGGAAAGUGAAUACACAAGGAGCCCUCACGCUUCCAUGGUCUCAGAAAAGGUGAGCUGGUAUGCUGAUAACUUCUGGCUCUCAAGACUCCCAUUGCCAAAUAGAAGCCCCCAGACUGUAGAGUGGGGACAGGAGUCAAGACAAGCAAUGCUGAAAUUCAGCAGCGGAUCCAAGAAAUUUAAACUGGAAUUCACAAGUUUUAUCCAGUUUCCUUAUGGCCCAGGUCCUGUAUGGCACACCUGCCAGUGA